rnacentral:misc_RNA from 1 species
UUUCCGUAGGUGAACCUGCGGAAGGAUCACUAUCAUGUAAUUCAGUCCCCUUGGCUGUGUUAUAUAUAUACCCACUCUGUGUACCUUCUCCUGUUGCUUCCGCUGGGUGUGUAAUUCGCCCGGCGGAAGGGUAAAAAUAACCUCUGAGUAUUGAUGAAAUCUCUGUCAGAACCGAAUAGAAAGAAAAAUGUUAAAACUUUCAGCAACGGAUCUCUUGGUUCUCGCAUCGAUGAAGAACACAGC